rnacentral:lncRNA from 1 species
AAAACCCUAAUUAUUACAUUUGGAGGAUCCUAACUACAAUCUAAAAAGGGAAAGGAAUAAAAAUAAAUAAAUAAAUAAAUAAACCCCUAACUAUUACAACUCGGCAUUUAAAUGCCUUUCAAAUAAUCAAAAUUGAACUAAAAUAAAUAUAUAAACUUAAAACAAAUAAAGCAAAUAAAUAAAUAAAUAAAAUGAAAACAUUCAAAAAGCAUGCAAUUAAGCACAUAAAACCACAUAAGGGCACAUAGGAUCAAUUUAAAUCAAAAUAAGGGAUAGAGUGUACCUCCCUUGAGUUGAGGCUCUAAUGAGACGAAAUUAUUUAUUUACCCUUCAAAAAAAAAAAAAAAAAGAUCAAGGCAUCACUUUAAUUGAGAAAACUAAAGAAAAUAUGCAAACGCAAGCUCAAGUGGUCAUAAAGCCCUUAAAAUUAUGAAUUAAAUGCAGUUUAAACAAACUAUGGUGGCUAAUUGAAGCAAACAAGCAAUGAAGUUGCGAAAUUAAAGCUGCCAAGGACCAAAUCACAAAUAUCAAAAAGUUUUUAGGGCCAAAUCGUGAUUUCCAGAACUUUUGGGGCCAAACUAGAAGGAAAGAAAAGUUCAAGGACCAAUUUGCAAAUUGUAGCAGGGACUUAAUUGAAAUCCUUUACAAAAGUUUUGGGGUCAAAUUAUGAAGUCCUAAAAACUUUGGGAUUAAAUUAUGAAGAAAGAGAGGAUGGAGGAGCUGAAAUUAUAAACCUAGUCAAAUGAUCAUCUUUUCCAAACGGUUUAAGCAUCAGUACCGCCAUUUUCGUCUUCUUAUCAGGCAAUACCAAAAAACAGUUUUAACUCUAGCCAUUCCCCAUCAGACAACGAAAUUCACAAACAUUAAUUCGGAUUCAUACAAAGGGAAGCAUAAGGGAACGAAAAACAGAACAAGUGCAAGACACCAAUACACCAAAUUUCUCAAAUGCAAGAAGACGAGCUCGCUGACUUAUCCGGUUUCUUCAUACAUAAAAAUGCAAACAAAUCAUCUUUCAAUUAGGACUUUCAAUCAGGCAUUUCAUCGAACAGGUUAAGGGAAUUAAAAAUUUCAUCAAUCCUUUGCUCCAUUGAGACUACAAUCGGCCCCAAAAUUGUUCAGAAAACAAAGAUUUCAGUCAAAAUCAAUCACAUAGAUUGUGUGUGCUCGAAUUGCAGACAACUGACAAGAAAUUGCAACAACAGAUUCACAAGAGACGUGCUUGGGGUUGGAAUUUUCAGCAUUUGUGCUUGAAAGGCAGACUGAAAUUCGAAGAAAAAAAAAUGACUUACAGUGCUUCCUUAGUGAGGAUUUCUCAGGCGGUAAUGGCGAUUUGCGAUGGUGGCGGUCGAUUCUAGUGGUGGCAACUGCUCCAAUUUCUUCCAUCGAAUUUCCUUUUGCCACUCUGUUUUAGCCGAAGCCCUUUCCCUUCCUUUUGUUCCCCUUUUCUCUCGUUCGUGGCCCUUUCCUAGAUUCCCUCAGUUUUUCUUGCCCAUCCGUCCUUGUCUGCCGCCCCUCUUUUGCUCUGUUUUUCCUUUUCUUUUCCCCUUGCUCUCAGACGAGGCUCCUUGUUUUUUUUUUUUUCCA